rnacentral:lncRNA from 1 species
GAAUGCUAAAAUUAUGGAAAUAAGAUAAUAUAUAUAAAACAAAAGCCUAAAAUAUAUGUAUAUUAAAGAUGCUUAGAUAUGGUGUAUAAAAUAUGCCUAUGUAUGGAUGAAAUAAUGGUAAUAAUAAUAAUAAAUGAAAUCAUGAUAUAGCAUAAUUUUUUAAAUAAAAAAAAUACAAAUUAAAUAAAUAAAGUAGCUAAAAAAAACUAAAUUGAACUUAAAAAGAAAAAAAAAUGGGUAAAUUUGAAGCAAAUUAAAAGACAGGACCACGUUGAAUGCGCGCACAACAGUGGAGGACCAAAA